GCCGACUGAACCGUGGCAGCGCUGUGAUUGGCUGCAGAGGGAGCGCACGGCCCUCGCAGUCAGCACACACCUCACUUCCCGGGCAGUGGCGUCACGUGUGCGUCACUUCAGGAAUGCAGUGAGUUUGCAUGUCUGUCUGUCCUUGAGUCCGACCCUCCGUCCAGCUGUGAAUCCGUUUGUUCAAGAACUCCUCCUAAAUGGACUAUUACCGAGAAGUCUCGAGUGCUUUGUCCAGGUUCAUGCUGAGUCGUUUUUGGGAUGGGAUUUGGGUGACUUCGCUGCCCCCUGCCAUUUGCCAACUAGUGCCUGCAAACCUCUGAGAUGCGGGAAAUCGCUCCGUGGCACACGGUGCCUGCCUCCCACCACGGUGGGUGAGGACCGAUGUUGUAAAGUGACGCCCGGUUUCCCCGGGAAUGGAUAAGCAGUCUCAAAGUCCAGAGGUGCGGUGUGCCAUGGACAGAGCACCGUGCGUGCUUACUGCUCCGCUGAUUGUGUUCCCGCCUUGUCACCGCGCUGGCGGUAAAGCUGUAAUUGUCGUCAUCCUAUCCAGCUUGUUUAACUAAGAACAAUAAAAAUGAAA